rnacentral:rRNA from 1 species
UACGUAGGGGGCAAGCGUUGUCCGGAUUUAUUGGGCGUAAAGAGCUCGUAGGCGGUUUGGUAAGUCAGGUGUGAAAUCUCCACGCUCAACGUGGAGGGGCCACCUGAUACUGCCAUGGCUAGAGUCCGGAAGAGGAGAGUGGAAUUCCUGGUGUAGCGGUGAAAUGCGCAGAUAUCAGGAAGAACACCUAUGGCGAAGGCAGCUCUCUGGGACGGUACUGACGCUGAGACGCGAAAGCGUGGGGAGCGAACAGG